rnacentral:rRNA from 1 species
UACGUAGGGGGCAAGCGUUGUCCGGAAUCAUUGGGCGUAAAGCGCGUGUAGGCGGCUCGGUAAGUCCGCUCUGAAAGUCCAGGGCUCAACCCUGGGAUGCGGGUGGAUACUGCCGGGCUCGAGUCCGGAAGAGGCGAGUGGAAUUCCCGGUGUAGCGGUGAAAUGCGUAGAUAUCUGGAGGAACACCGGUGGCGAAGGCGGCAUCCUGGACCGGUAUUGACGCUGAGGCGCGAAAGCCAGGGGGGCAACAGGGAGGUAUAAACC